rnacentral:misc_RNA from 1 species
GUAGGUGAACCUGCGGAAGGAUCAUUACAGAGUUCAUGCCCUCGCGGGUAGGUCUCCCACCCUUGAAUAUUUUAUACCUUUGUUGCUUUGGCGGGCCGCUUCGGCUACCGGCUUUCGGCUGGUGAGUGCCCGCCAGAGGACCCAAACUCUUGAAUUAUAGUGUCGUCUGAGUACUAUAUAAUAGUUAAAACUUUCAACAACGGAUCUCUUGGUUCUG